GACGAACGCUGGCGGCGUGCUUAACACAUGCAAGUCGAACGAUGAACCAGGGCUUGCCCUGGGGAUUAGUGGCGAACGGGUGAGUAACACGUGGGUAACCUACCUAUAAGACUGGGAUAACUCCGGGAAACCGGGGCUAAUACCGGAUAAUAUUUUGAACCGCAUGGUUCAAUAGUGAAAGACGGUUUCGGCUGUCACUUAUAGAUGGACCCGCGCCGUAUUAGCUAGUUGGUAAGGUAACGGCUUACCAAGGCGACGAUACGUAGCCGACCUGAGAGGGUGAUCGGCCACACUGGAACUGAGACACGGUCCAGACUCCUACGGGAGGCAGCAGUAGGGAAUCUUCCGCAAUGGGCGAAAGCCUGACGGAGCAACGCCGCGUGAGUGAUGAAGGUCUUCGGAUCGUAAAACUCUGUUGUUAGGGAAGAACAAAUUUGUUAGUAACUGAACAAGUCUUGACGGUACCUAACCAGAAAGCCACGGCUAACUACGUGCCAGCCGCCGCCGUAA
rnacentral:rRNA from 1 species